UUACAGCUCGAGCGGCCUUCUCAGUCGAACCGUUCACGUUGCGAGCUGCUGGCGGCCGCAACAUGUAUUUAAUACAAAACUAAUUUAAACAAAUUAAAGAGGCCUCAUUGGAGUCCAAACUUGGGUGUGAUGAGGAAAUAGUCUACUUCUUCGUUAUGUGUUAGACCCUUUAGCAUAGCUUCUCCCCAAAGAAUUCCAUUCUCAGAAUAUUCUCUCUUUCUGCCCAUGCCUUGUGAUCCCUUUAAGUGAAAGUGUACCUCCAUCCAAGCUGCCUAGAGGGACACAGAGGACACAAACCUGCAGCAGGGGUUUCCCCGAGUAUGCAGUGGGCAGUGUGGUUCUCUGGGCAAUAAAAGAAAAAGUGUGUGAUUCUUAUUUUCACUGGCAGUGAAGAAAAUCGGAGUGUUUGAAAAAAAAAAAAAAAACUGCUGUGGUCAACAACGUGUCAAAUGAAAAUAUGUACAAUUAGAAGUCAAAUCACACUGUUUUGUAAAAAUUCUACAUAAUUUAAAAUUCUAUAUAAUGCAGCAGAGUUUGAAACAUAUCAAGCUAUUGCUAAUUAUUUACUGAUAAAGCCUAUCUCCACAGCAAUAAUCAGCAGCUACCUGCUUGACUUCCUAGCGUUUUUCAGUCCUUAGUAAACCAGAAAAGUCCACAUAAAGUUGAGCUCUUGAGAUAAAAUAAUAAAGAGCAACCAUUUAUAUCUUUAACUCAGUGUCAUGCUGUGACUCACAAGACGCUUGUUAGUUUUCCUUUAUGGAUAGGUUUUAUUACUCUUAUUCUAAUAAGGUGGCAUGGUGUCUGACGUUUAGCCCACAAGGGCAGAGUUUUGCAUAAGAAGGCUGCUUGUACUUUGUCCAGUGGGCUUUAGUUUCCCAGUAUGGUUUAAAUCAUGCCCAGGAAAGAGGUAGAAAGAGCCAGCUGCACACACUGGAUGCUGGUCUUUCUAUCCUCAGACUCCAGACUUCAUUUCCAGUAGCGUUAUGUAGGUACUGACCUUACGCCUUCCAUCCCAAAAAAACAAUAGCAACACCUUUCAUUUAAAACUCAUAUUUUCCACCUAUCUGUUAAUAAUUUACCUCAACAUAACAGUUCAAAACUAAUCUUCAUUAAACAUUAAUUCCUCUAUGGAAAAAUUCAUUUAUAUAUUUUGGUUAAAAAUCUUAAGUUGUUUAUGUUUUCUGUGUUCCUUAGAAAACCGCUGAGCUUGAGUUGAUGAGAUGGCUCAGUAGGCAAAGUGCCAGCCCAGCAAGCUUAGGGAGUUGAGUUCAUAUCUCCACCAUCACUUAAAAGUCAGACACAGCAGCCUAUCCCUAGUGCUCGAACGGUAAAGGCAAUCGCUGGAACUAACUAGACAGCCAGUUCAGCUGGACCACUGAGCUCCUGGUUCAGAGCUACUCUGUCUCAAGAAACAAGAUGAAGACCAAUAGAGCAUCACACCUCAUAUCAUCAUGUGGCCUCCACGUGCAACUGCACAUGUCAGUAUGUGCACACACAAGCACAGGAAGGAAGACUCGCAGUUGAUGAACAUUUGCCAUAAACUGGCUACUGACUUCAGAAUGCUAAUAUGGAAACAAUGGAACAACAAAAGCAAGUCUUGGGACCAAUGACGUAACACAUACUUGAAGGGGUAGGAAAUGUUUCAGCAUGUCGUUGAACCCCCUUAAUGGACAACAUAAUCUAAUCUGCUCGGUGGCACAGAAAAUGAUUUAGGAUGUCUCAAAUGAUCUGCAUUUUACUUUCUACAGAACUUUAUUCAAUGGAGCAGACAAGACGCUCAAUUACAACUUCAAAGAACCAACAGACCUGGAUGGGAAUCUCAGCCCAACUAUGUGGCCUUUGGAUCAUGAUGGAGCGUGUCUCUUCCUCCAAAAAAGACAGAGGAUAAAGUAAGAUACAGAAAUGAGCAAGAAAUGAAAUACUUUUUCGUGGUUUUGGGGAGGAUGCUAUACCUUGGAAGUACCGGCCUGCUCCUCAGCAAAACUCUCAGUUGCUAUCUCUUGUAUUUGCAGGGCUCUGGGAGGUGACGUCUGCUUUCCCAUCUGGAGCUGAGGGUAGGAAAACAGAUGAAUUCCAACUCCUUCUACCUCACUCUUAUUGGGAACUGUGUGCUGCUACAUUAGAAAUGAGAGUUUGCAACGUCAACCUGCUGCUGCUGUUUCUGCUACGCACUUUGAAAGACUCAACAAUUUAUGCUUGUUUCCUUGUUUUUCUUCUCUGGUAAAAACUUAGCCACUAUCCAAACAGGAUUUUUUUUUCAGUGCCAGGAAGAUAAUAUCUCCUGGGCAAGGGUCACUUCAUGCAAGGUUGUCUACGAGGGGCCUGAGGUUGGGGCUUUAUUGUCAGCCCCUAGGCCCAGGGCACUGUCGUGUGCCACAGAGACUCUCUGUCCCUUUCCACCCAGGCUUCUCAGCUGGCAUCCAGGGCUUUGUCUCAUUUUGUAACCUUCCUCUAGGCUUUGUUACAGAUGCCUUCUCCAACAUCAGCUUCUUAUUUGAAACAUCAGCUACUUGUUGCUCAAAUUUUCAGAAACCUGACCUGAUAGCUAGACAAAAGUAUUCCCUAUCUGUAUACCACAAAGUCCCUCUGUCACACUGCACAGCCCCAUGGGGAGGCUAAUUGGUUAUCCAGUCAGACAGUACACAGUGGAUACAGGAUAACCCCAUUAUAGAAGAUAAAGCCACUGAAAGAAAAACAAAACUCACGUUGCUACCUCUGUUUCCCUUAAGAUUUUUCUCUGUCCACCAAUCCUGCCUUUCUUCCCUAACCAGUCCUGAAAAUGUGAGGCUCACACUAGGAAAAAUAAAAAGACCAGACUUAAAGAACCAAAGGGCUUUUAGGGAAAGUUGAGUUUGCAAACCGGAGAAGUGUGAAUGUUAGUAUAAUCAUGGCCAAUCAAAUUUCUCCUGCCCAGUGUAGGGGUAUAUCUUACUUUUAAGAAGCAGGGAUUGAGGGACUAAUGAAGUGGUCUAGCUAUUAAGAGUACUGUGUGUUCUUCCAAAGGUCCUGAGUUCGAUUUCCAGCAAACACAUGGUGGCUCGCAA